GAUCUUUUUCUGGAGAUUCCUCCUUUUGGAGUUUUCUACUGUGAGCCUAUGACACAGGAGCAAAGUAACCAUCUCCAACAUCCCCAGGGAAGAUCUACAUAAGAGGUGAGACGUUUUCUAGAUGUGUCCAUUUGCUGCGGCACCUGAUUUUAGAAUUAUAUCAGCUUGUGAGCCUCCGAACAGAAACUUGGCAGAGAUGAUGGUGUUUUUCAGCAGCCAGAAAUAUUUGUUUCCCCUUACACAAUUUUCCUGGGUGGACUGAAUCCACCACUACACCCUGUUUUCUACCCUCCAAGAGGCCCAGGACAGUACUGAGAAAACUCACAUGUAUGCAGUGGGGUCACGCAAUAGCUAGGGGAGCUCUGGGAGUAGACUGAAGGAAGAGAUGAGCAGAAACUGAACUACAGCUUUUCUGAGGCACUUUAGCAGCAAUCCUUCAUGAAAGCAUAAACUGUUUUGAGCUGUGGCUUUCUGGUUGUGGAUCUAGCUUUUUUUUUUUUUUAAAUUAUUAUUUUAUUAUGUUUGUGCAAGGGAAAUAUAUUUAUGUGCUAAGCAAGCAUUGAAAAAAAUAAUAGGUGCAAUUCUUAUGACAGGUAGCUGUAAUUCUUUUUUUCUGUAAACACGUUCCAGUAAUGUUUAUAAAUGCUCCUAACUCACGCUUGGAUAUGUAUGAAAAUUAAUAUAAAACACUGCUAUGAUUGGAAGUAAGAAAGUCACCUGCUGGCUGUUUUUCAUAUCUGUGGGGCAACCUGAUCUGGUGCCUGGUUUAGUGGUUGGCAACGCUGCCCAUGGCAGGGGGUUGGAACUCAAUGAUCUUUGAGCUCCCUUCCAGCCUAAGCUAUUCUAUGGUUCGUAUGGGAGAGGCCAGUGCUGACCUAGUGUCAAGACCAGCACCUGUGCACACUGUAGGCAUGGUCGUGGUGGGUAAACACUAAGCUCUGAUCCUUGCUGUCCAUGUUCUGUGGAUAAAUGAGGGAUUUCACACUCAACAGUCAUCAAACCACAGUUAUUAUAGA